rnacentral:rRNA from 1 species
UACGGGGGGGGCAAGCGUUGUUCGGAAUUACUGGGCGUAAAGGGCGUGUAGGCGGCCAACUAAGUCCGACGUGAAAUCCCCAGGCUUAACCUGGGAACUGCGUCGGAUACUGGAUGGCUUGAAUUCGGGAGAGGGAUGCAGAAUUCCAGGUGUAGCGGUGAAAUGCGUAGAUAUCUGGAGGAAUACCGGUGGCGAAGGCGGCAUCCUGGACCGACAUUGACGCUGAAGCGCGAAAAGCUAGGGGAGCAAACGGGG